rnacentral:rRNA from 1 species
AGCCCGCUCGCCGGAAGACCAAGGGUUCCUGUCCAACGUUAAUCGGGGCAGGGUGAGUCGACCCCUAAGGCGAGGCCGAAAGGCGUAGUCGAUGGGAAACAGGUUAAUAUUCCUGUACUUGGUGUUACUGCGAAGGGGGGACGGAGAAGGCUAUGUUGGCCGGGCGACGGUUGUCCCGGUUUAAGCGUGUAGGCUGGUUUUCCAGGCAAAUCCGGAAAAUCAAGGCUGAGGCGUGAUGACGAGGCACUACGGUGCUGAAGCAACAAAUGCCCUGCUUCCAGGAAAAGCCUCUAAGCAUCAGGUAACAUCAAAUCGUACCCCAAACCGACACAGGUGGUCAGGUAGAGAAUACCAAGGCGCUUGAGAGAACUCGGGUGAAGGAACUAGGCAAAAUGGUGCCGUAACUUCGGGAGAAGGCACGCUGAUAUGUAGGUGAAGUCCCUCGCGGAUGGAGCUGAAAUCAGUCGAAGAUACCAGCUGGCUGCAACUGUUUAUUAAAAACACAGCACUGUGCAAACACGAAAGUGGACGUAUACGGUGUGACGCCUGCCCGGUGCCGGAAGGUUAAUUGAUGGGGUCAGCGCAAGCGAAGCUCUUGAUCGAAGCCCCGGUAAACGGCGGCCGUAACUAUAACGGUCCUAAGGUAGCGAAAUUCCUUGUCGGGUAAGUUCCGACCUGCACGAAUGGCGUAAUGAUGGCCAGGCUGUCUCCACCCGAGACUCAGUGAAAUUGAACUCGCUGUGAAGAUGCAGUGUACCCGCGGCAAGACGGAAAGACCCCGUGAACCUUUACUAUAGCUUGACACUGAACAUUGAGCCUUGAUGUGUAGGAUAGGUGGGAGGCUUGGAAGUGUGGACGCCAGUCUGCAUGGAGCCGACCUUGAAAUACCACCCUUUAAUGUUUGAUGUUCUAACGUUGACCCGUAAUCCGGGUUGCGGACAGUGUCUGGUGGGUAGUUUGACUGGGGCGGUCUCCUCCUAAAGAGUAACGGAGGAGCACGAAGGUUGGCUAAUCCUGGUCGGACAUCAGGAGGUUAGUGCAAUGGCAUAAGCCAGCUUGACUGCGAGCGUGACGGCGCGAGCAGGUGCGAAAGCAGGUCAUAGUGAUCCGGUGGUUCUGAAUGGAAGGGCCAUCGCUCAACGGAUAAAAGGUACUCCGGGGAUAACAGGCUGAUACCGCCCAAGAGUUCAUAUCGACGGCGGUGUUUGGCACCUCGAUGUCGGCUCAUCACAUCCUGGGGCUGAAGUAGGUCCCAAGGGUAUGGCUGUUCGCCAUUUAAAGUGGUACGCGAGCUGGGUUUAGAACGUCGUGAGACAGUUCGGUCCCUAUCUGCCGUGGGCGCUGGAGAACUGAGGGGGGCUGCUCCUAGUACGAGAGGACCGGAGUGGACGCAUCACUGGUGUUCGGGUUGUCAUGCCAAUGGCACUGCCCGGUAGCUAAAUGCGGAAGAGAUAAGUGCUGAAAGCAUCUAAGCACGAAACUUGCCCCGAGAUGAGUUCUCCCUGACUCCUUGAGAGUCCUGAAGGAACGUUGAAGACGACGACGUUGAUAGGCCGGGUGUGUAAGCGCAGCGAUGCGUUGAGCUAACCGGUACUAAUGAACCGUGAGGCUUAACC